UUUACAAAUGUAGACGAGAAAUGUCAUUCACACAAUCCGACCUAUUUCGCGAAAACUCUUUCUCUCCUCCCCAUCUUCCACAGCGCAGCCCAGCCCUCUGCCCUCACCGAUAGGCGACACCGCGACAAUCCCAGCCGGCCGGCCCACAUGUCCCCCACGGCCUCACCGUCACCGCGCCGCGCGCUCACUACGACAAGCUGAAAGUACUCUUUCUCUGUGAGCAAUGUCAUCGGAAGUUCAUCAUAGUUCGUCCUCAUCAUUGACGGAAUCGAGUCCCUUGGUGGUAACCUAUGCUAUAAACAUGGGGCCUCGCUUGAUUCCACAACUAUCACCAACAGAUUUCAGAAACCUGGUUUCACAAGGUAUAGCUCAGUAUGAUCAUGAGGGUAGCUGCAGGAACGACAAUGAGGCAACAACUAAAUUAGCACCCGAACUGUCGGAACUGGUGGCAGAAGUUGGGAGAAUGUUAUCAGAGUUUAAGAAUGUCGAGUUCUUAAGCAAGUUACAAGGUAAAAAAAGGGACUGAAAUAUUCCGGAAAUACAAGCAGGAAUUAGAUGACAUAAAGACAGAUCCAAACAUAAACAUAUACAAUGUAGUAGUUCGAACAGACUUGGUUUGGUUUAGAUCCCGAUUUCGAGUUAGGACUGCCAAUUUGGAGCGGAUAUGGUGAAGGUUGAUCCUAAGCUUCUUAAGUUUUCUUCCCUUGUUGCUGGUAGAUCGUCCAAUUGAUGCUCGGUCGCAAUCGAAUGUAUUAAAUACAACUUUAUUACGAGUGUUUCUUUUGUUUAUUAAGAUUAUUAUAGAUACAAUUGAAAGUUAUCAUACAACUUUUGGGUUUGGGGAUCAUCU